rnacentral:rRNA from 1 species
AUUGAACGCUGGCGGCAUGCCUUACACAUGCAAGUCGAACGGCAGCACGGGGCAACCUGGUGGCGAGUGGCGAACGGGUGAGUAAUGCAUCGGAACGUACCUUUCAGUGGGGGAUAACGUAGCGAAAGUUACGCUAAUACCGCAUAUUCUGUGAGCAGGAAAGCAGGGGAUCGCAAGACCUUGCGCUGAUUGAGCGGCCGAUGUCAGAUUAGCUAGUUGGUGGGGUAAAGGCUCACCAAGGCGACGAUCUGUAGCGGGUCUGAGAGGAUAAUCCGCCACACUGGAACUGAGACACGGUCCAGACUCCUACGGGAGGCAGCAGUGGGGAAUUUUGGACAAUGGGGGCAACCCUGAUCCAGCCAUGCCGCGUGAGUGAAGAAGGCCUUCGGGUUGUAAAGCUCUUUCGGCCGGGAAGAAAUCGCACGGGCUAAUACCCUGUGUGGAUGACGGUACCGGAAUAAGAAGCACCGGCUAACUACGUGCCAGCAGCCGCCGUAAAAC